rnacentral:tRNA from 1 species
GGGGAUUUAGCUCAGCGGCAUAAGCGCCUGCCUUGCAAGCAGGAAGUCAUGAGUUCGAUCCCCA